rnacentral:lncRNA from 1 species
UCGGUUUUUCUUUAUUUUUUUAGUAGUGUUUGGCCAAUUGGCCUAUAUAUAAAAUCUAUUAUUAAAAAACACAAAACCUAAUGAGAGAGAAAAUCUCCCUCUAACCAAAACUCUUAAAAGACUACAUUGUAGAUGCUACUGUGUUAUAACUUGAGAAGAGAGAUCUUCUAUUUAUAGAGUUACAAAACCCCUAGAAAAAGAAUAAACCUAAUAGAAAUCUAAUAGACCUAAUAGAAAUCUAAUAGAAAAGAUAUUUUCCAACAAGGAAACUUCUUUCUAUCAAAAAAGGUAAUUCUAAUUAUGUUAGAAAAUAUAAUAAAGUAGGAAAUUCAGGGCAAUCUCAAUAAAUCUCCCCUUGGCCUGAAUUUUCUGGCAAAUUAAUCUUGAUCUUCUUCUUUACAUAAUCUUCAUAUAUCAACAAUCUUCAUAUAUCACUGUUGCUUACUAUGAUUAAAAAUUGACAUGGGUUAAAAUUGAAGCCCUAUGCAUUAAAAAUAAAAGCACGGGUUGAUAAGAUUGAAAGUAGAGCCUUGUGCAUUGAAAGUGAGCACAUGUUAAAAGUGGAGCUCAUGCGUUAAAAAUAAAAGCACGGGUUGAUAAGAUUGAAAGUAGAGCCUUGUGCAUUGAAAGUGAGCACAUGUUAAAAGUGGAGCUCAUGCGUUAAAAAUAAAAGCACGGGUUGAUAAGAUUGAAAGUAGAGCCUUGUGCAUUGAAAGUGAGCACAUGUUAAAAGUGGAGCUCAUGCGUUAAAAAUAAAAGCACGGGUUGAUAAGAUUGAAAGUAGAGCCUUGUGCAUUGAAAGUGAGCACAUGUUAAAAGUGGAGCUCAUGCGUUAAAAAUAAAAGCACGGGUUGAUAAGAUUGAAAGUAGAGCCUUGUGCAUUGAAAGUGAGCACAUGUUAAAAGUGGAGCUCAUGCGUUAAAAAUAAAAGCACGGGUUGAUAAGAUUGAAAGUAGAGCCUUGUGCAUUGAAAGUGAGCACAUGUUAAAAGUGGAGCUCAUGCGUUAAAAAUAAAAGCACGGGUUGAUAAGAUUGAAAGUAGAGCCUUGUGCAUUGAAAGUGAGCACAUGUUAAAAGUGGAGCUCAUGCGUUAAAAAUAAAAGCACGGGUUGAUAAGAUUGAAAGUAGAGCCUUGUGCAUUGAAAGUGAGCACAUGUUAAAAGUGGAGCUCAUGCGUUAAAAAUAAAAGCACGGGUUGAUAAGAUUGAAAGUAGAGCCUUGUGCAUUGAAAGUGAGCACAUGUUAAAAGUGGAGCUCAUGCGUUAAAAAUAAAAGCACGGGUUGAUAAGAUUGAAAGUAGAGCCUUGUGCAUUGAAAGUGAGCACAUGUUAAAAGUGGAGCUCAUGCGUUAAAAAUAAAAGCACGGGUUGAUAAGAUUGAAAGUAGAGCCUUGUGCAUUGAAAGUGAGCACAUGUUAAAAGUGGAGCUCAUGCGUUAAAAAUAAAAGCACGGGUUGAUAAGAUUGAAAGUAGAGCCUUGUGCAUUGAAAGUGAGCACAUGUUAAAAGUGGAGCUCAUGCGUUAAAAAUAAAAGCACGGGUUGAUAAGAUUGAAAGUAGAGCCUUGUGCAUUGAAAGUGAGCACAUGUUAAAAGUGGAGCUCAUGCGUUAAAAAUAAAAGCACGGGUUGAUAAGAUUGAAAGUAGAGCCUUGUGCAUUGAAAGUGAGCACAUGUUAAAAGUGGAGCUCAUGCGUUAAAAAUAAAAGCACGGGUUGAUAAGAUUGAAAGUAGAGCCUUGUGCAUUGAAAGUGAGCACAUGUUAAAAGUGGAGCUCAUGCGUUAAAAAUAAAAGCACGGGUUGAUAAGAUUGAAAGUAGAGCCUUGUGCAUUGAAAGUGAGCACAUGUUAAAAGUGGAGCUCAUGCGUUAAAAAUAAAAGCACGGGUUGAUAAGAUUGAAAGUAGAGCCUUGUGCAUUGAAAGUGAGCACAUGUUAAAAGUGGAGCUCAUGCGUUAAAAAUAAAAGCACGGGUUGAUAAGAUUGAAAGUAGAGCCUUGUGCAUUGAAAGUGAGCACAUGUUAAAAGUGGAGCUCAUGCGUUAAAAAUAAAAGCACGGGUUGAUAAGAUUGAAAGUAGAGCCUUGUGCAUUGAAAGUGAGCACAUGUUAAAAGUGGAGCUCAUGCGUUAAAAAUAAAAGCACGGGUUGAUAAGAUUGAAAGUAGAGCCUUGUGCAUUGAAAGUGAGCACAUGUUAAAAGUGGAGCUCAUGCGUUAAAAAUAAAAGCACGGGUUGAUAAGAUUGAAAGUAGAGCCUUGUGCAUUGAAAGUGAGCACAUGUUAAAAGUGGAGCUCAUGCGUUAAAAAUAAAAGCACGGGUUGAUAAGAUUGAAAGUAGAGCCUUGUGCAUUGAAAGUGAGCACAUGUUAAAAGUGGAGCUCAUGCGUUAAAAAUAAAAGCACGGGUUGAUAAGAUUGAAAGUAGAGCCUUGUGCAUUGAAAGUGAGCACAUGUUAAAAGUGGAGCUCAUGCGUUAAAAAUAAAAGCACGGGUUGAUAAGAUUGAAAGUAGAGCCUUGUGCAUUGAAAGUGAGCACAUGUUAAAAGUGGAGCUCAUGCGUUAAAAAUAAAAGCACGGGUUGAUAAGAUUGAAAGUAGAGCCUUGUGCAUUGAAAGUGAGCACAUGUUAAAAGUGGAGCUCAUGCGUUAAAAAUAAAAGCACGGGUUGAUAAGAUUGAAAGUAGAGCCUUGUGCAUUGAAAGUGAGCACAUGUUAAAAGUGGAGCUCAUGCGUUAAAAAUAAAAGCACGGGUUGAUAAGAUUGAAAGUAGAGCCUUGUGCAUUGAAAGUGAGCACAUGUUAAAAGUGGAGCUCAUGCGUUAAAAAUAAAAGCACGGGUUGAUAAGAUUGAAAGUAGAGCCUUGUGCAUUGAAAGUGAGCACAUGUUAAAAGUGGAGCUCAUGCGUUAAAAAUAAAAGCACGGGUUGAUAAGAUUGAAAGUAGAGCCUUGUGCAUUGAAAGUGAGCACAUGUUAAAAGUGGAGCUCAUGCGUUAAAAAUAAAAGCACGGGUUGAUAAGAUUGAAAGUAGAGCCUUGUGCAUUGAAAGUGAGCACAUGUUAAAAGUGGAGCUCAUGCGUUAAAAAUAAAAGCACGGGUUGAUAAGAUUGAAAGUAGAGCCUUGUGCAUUGAAAGUGAGCACAUGUUAAAAGUGGAGCUCAUGCGUUAAAAAUAAAAGCACGGGUUGAUAAGAUUGAAAGUAGAGCCUUGUGCAUUGAAAGUGAGCACAUGUUAAAAGUGGAGCUCAUGCGUUAAAAAUAAAAGCACGGGUUGAUAAGAUUGAAAGUAGAGCCUUGUGCAUUGAAAGUGAGCACAUGUUAAAAGUGGAGCUCAUGCGUUAAAAAUAAAAGCACGGGUUGAUAAGAUUGAAAGUAGAGCCUUGUGCAUUGAAAGUGAGCACAUGUUAAAAGUGGAGCUCAUGCGUUAAAAAUAAAAGCACGGGUUGAUAAGAUUGAAAGUAGAGCCUUGUGCAUUGAAAGUGAGCACAUGUUAAAAGUGGAGCUCAUGCGUUAAAAAUAAAAGCACGGGUUGAUAAGAUUGAAAGUAGAGCCUUGUGCAUUGAAAGUGAGCACAUGUUAAAAGUGGAGCUCAUGCGUUAAAAAUAAAAGCACGGGUUGAUAAGAUUGAAAGUAGAGCCUUGUGCAUUGAAAGUGAGCACAUGUUAAAAGUGGAGCUCAUGCGUUAAAAAUAAAAGCACGGGUUGAUAAGAUUGAAAGUAGAGCCUUGUGCAUUGAAAGUGAGCACAUGUUAAAAGUGGAGCUCAUGCGUUAAAAAUAAAAGCACGGGUUGAUAAGAUUGAAAGUAGAGCCUUGUGCAUUGAAAGUGAGCACAUGUUAAAAGUGGAGCUCAUGCGUUAAAAAUAAAAGCACGGGUUGAUAAGAUUGAAAGUAGAGCCUUGUGCAUUGAAAGUGAGCACAUGUUAAAAGUGGAGCUCAUGCGUUAAAAAUAAAAGCACGGGUUGAUAAGAUUGAAAGUAGAGCCUUGUGCAUUGAAAGUGAGCACAUGUUAAAAGUGGAGCUCAUGCGUUAAAAAUAAAAGCACGGGUUGAUAAGAUUGAAAGUAGAGCCUUGUGCAUUGAAAGUGAGCACAUGUUAAAAGUGGAGCUCAUGCGUUAAAAAUAAAUGCACGAGUUGAAAGGAGUCAAAGCGUUGAAAGUUGGAGCCUAUAAACAUGGAUUGAAAAUUAAAUUGGUUUUAAAGAUGGAGCAACGGGAUUGUUGAAAAUAUGGUUGAAAAUUCUUCUCCACGUAUAUUUUUUUUUGAACAAAAAUCUUCAUCACUGUCUAGUUGGUUGCAACUUUGAUUUUGACAUGUCCUCAAUUUGAACCAUCGAACCAUUGAAUCAUAAACUCUGAUACCACUUGUUGAGUUUGAAAUCAAGAGGCCGUCAUGCACAAGCUAAUUGUUGCAAACCAUUGUGGUGAUAAUUUAGAAGACACAUAAAACAAUACUAAAAACAUAAUAUUAUUAUAUGAUUUGGCCAAUUGACCUACAUAUAAAAUCUAUUAUUAAAAAAAUACAAAAACUAAUGAGAGAGAAAAUCUUCCCUGAACCAAAACUCUUAAAGGACUACAUUUUGG